GGCCUGAAACCGGGACCCCGUAAGAGGCCCAUAAAGCACAAGACGGCGGAGAUGAUUGGGAGCCACGGGAGGCGACUGGGAGCCACGGGAGGCGACUGGGAGCCACGGGAGGCGACUGAGAGCCACGGGAGGCGACUGGGACCCAUGGGAGGUGACUGGGAGCCACAGGAGGCGACUGGGAGGCGACUGGGAGCCACGGGAGGUGACUGGGAGGCGACUGGGAGCCACGGGAGGUGACUGGGAGCCACGGGAGGUGAUUGGGAGCCACGGGAGGCGACUGGGAGCCAUGGGAGGCGAUUGGGAGGCGACUGGGAGCCACGGGAGGCGAUUGGGAGGCGACUGGGAGCCACGGGAGGUGACUGGGAGCCACGGGAGGUGAUUGGGACCCACGGGAGGUGACUGGGAGCCACGGGAGGUGAUUGGGAGCCAUGGGAGAUGACUGAGAGCCACGGGAGGCGACUGGGACCCAUGGGAGGUGACUGGGAGCCACAGGAGGCGACUGGGAGGCGACUGGGAGCCACGGGAGGUGACUGGGAGGCGACUGGGAGCCACGGGAGGUGACUGGGAGCCACGGGAGGUGAUUGGGAGCCACGGGAGGCGACUGGGAGCCAUGGGAGGCGAUUGGGAGGCGACUGGGAGCCACGGGAGGCGAUUGGGAGGCGACUGGGAGCCACGGGAGGUGACUGGGAGCCACGGGAGGUGAUUGGGACCCACGGGAGGUGACUGGGAGCCACGGGAGGUGAUUGGGAGCCAUGGGAGAUGACUGGGAGCCACGGGCUGGAAGGCUUCACAUGCCCGAGGAUUCCGAUUCUGUUGGGUCCAGAGAGAAGCCAUAGAAAUGUUGUCCGUGGGCACGUGAUCACAGCUGAAUGAUAGAACUUCUAUGGCAGCCACGGAGGAGUGCAAAGGGCAGAUCCUGGAGAUCACAGAGAGAAUCAGGUGAUAAAGGAGGUCAGAGGUCGCAUAGAUGGAGGGAAAGGACGGGAGCCACUGAAUGUGGGGAGGAGGCCCCAGGGGCCCAGCAGGGCAGGGCGCCCCCACCAGCCCAAGGGAUGCCAUCG
rnacentral:lncRNA from 1 species